rnacentral:lncRNA from 1 species
GAAAACGGAAAUCCAGAGUUGAGAAUAGAGCAGUGAAGGACACUCGAAAUCAAAUAGAAUUGAUGAAGUGAAAAAUAAGGAUUCUGACAGAAAAUUCUUGAAAGAACGUGGUACUAAAAAGCAUACUUCUGACAAACCUGAAGGUGAAAUUUCGGAGAAAAGAAAAGGGCUCAAAAAGAAUUAAGACUGUGGGACAGGACGUGGUAGAUAAACCUGACAUGCUGAUCGAACAAUACAAAUUGAAAUUCUCCAAGCAUACUUCUGACAAACCUUAAGGUGAAAAGCAAGCCAAUAGACAGCUUAAAAGAUGGUUCCGAUUAUGAUUUCCUUUUAGUGGGUUUUUGUAGCAUUUAAUGGUGGAUUCUUUCGUAGAAGAGUUGCGGUAAUUGAUUUUAAUGCAAUUGCUAGACAUUUUUG